rnacentral:rRNA from 1 species
UACAGAGGUCCCAAGCGUUGUUCGGAUUCACUGGGCGUAAAGGGUGCGUAGGCGGUCGGGUAAGUCUGGCGUGAAAUCUCCGAGCCUAACUUGGAAACUGCGUUGGAUACUAUCCGGCUCGAGGAAUGGAGGGGAGACUGGAAUACUUGGUGUAGCAGUGAAAUGCGUAGAUAUCAAGUGGAACACCAGUGGCGAAGGCGAUCACCUGGGGUUGUUCUGACGCUGAGGAGCGAAAGCUAGGGGAGCAAACGGG